AUACGGAGGGUGCAAGCGUUAUUAAGAAUCACUGGGCGUAAAGGACGCGUAGGCGGGUUGGCAAGUCAGAUGAGAAAUCCUACAGCUUAACUGUAGAACUGCAUUUGAAACUGCUAACCUAGAGUAUGGGAGGGGGAGAUGGAAUUAGUGGUGUAGGGGUAAAAUCCGUAGAUAUCACUAGGAAUACCGAAAGCGAAGGCGAUCUCCUGGAACAUAACUGACGCUAAGGCGUGAAAGCGUGGGGAGCAAACAGGAUUAGAAACCCCAGUAGUCC
rnacentral:rRNA from 1 species